CAACCAUCAAGCACUGCUUGGUAUUGGAUGCAACUUUGCGUAGUGCAUCUUAAAAACAUUAGGCAGCAGCAUUUAGCUUUUAGUGUAGUAAAUUUUCUCACUCUUGAGCUUAAAUGCCUGCUUGCCAGAACUAUUAUUUCAAA
rnacentral:misc_RNA from 1 species